GUCUUACAAUUGAUCUCUGAACUUCAGGUAAGUUCAUGUUGAUACUAUAUCAAUCCUGAUG
rnacentral:snoRNA from 1 species